GGCCGGGUAGCCUAGGGGUAUGAUUCUCGCUUUGGGUGCGAGAGGUCCUGGGUUCGAAUCCCGGUUCGGACC
rnacentral:tRNA from 1 species